rnacentral:lncRNA from 7 species
AGUGGAACUCUACAAAGUUUUGAAUCUGCUCUGCUUCUUCAAAAGUGCUGAUUUUUGGAAAGAAUCCCUUCACUCCUCUUACAACUAGUGGAAAAUAAUGGCUAUCCACCAGAACUGCUUGCGACAUCAAAAUAUUCUUACAUCAUGGAAGUGAGCAUCAUGGAAAAAGAAUAUUCUCCGAGUAACAGACAAGGGACUGUUAAGUGAAAAGAAAUGGAUACAUCAGGUUUAAUCUUGUCCAAUGAAGCCAGACAGCAAUGAAACUCCAUGGAGAAGUGAGGAUUCUUGAAGGUCUGAGCUGGCAGAAAGGGUAUCUGUUUGUUGUAGAAAAGAUGGGAUUAACAUUUCCCAUGUUCAGAGAAGGAAUCAGAGGCCAGCUUCCUGCCUGAGUUCUCUAAACACCGAGACUUUGGCUGAAAUGAAUCUCUAUCCAGCAUCUUUCUGGCUGUUUUUUAUACAGAGUCAGAUUUUCUGCUGUUUUAAGACUAUACAGAGGUUAGGAUAGGUGCACGCAGUACCAAGCCUCUAGGCUUAAGGAGAAGUGCUGAAUGAGUCUGACCAUUCAAGACAAUAGUUCUGGGCAUGCUGAAGAGCAGAACCAUAAGUGCCUGGAGUGCGUUCUUGGGAAAAAAAAAAAAAAAUCAAUUACAGAUUUUAGUUGGUUCUUCAUUUGGCAGUAGCUAAGUAUGGUUUUUGAGGAAACUGGUUUUGGCACUGGAGCUUCUCUCUGUGGAGAAGAUAGUGAAAAGCAGAUGUCCUGCACACUACCUAAUGGUUCCGCUCUGGCUUCCCAGAUCACUACAGCUGGCACAUGCUAACAUGCCUCCAGUUUAUACUGGGCAUCCACAGCCUCUCUGGUGUUUCCUAGAGAGGUCACAGUUCCUGGACAUAGCAGAAUGCUCAUGGUGAGUCCCACCUUUUUUGAACACACUCAAAAAGUCAGAAGAAGGAAGGGCAAGUGGGACUUGUUAGACUUGAUAGCUAGUAUGACUGAUUCCCAUCAACAUUCUUUUAUUGCUGCCUCUGUCUUGGAAGGCUGAACUCAUGUCAGUGGCCUGGUGAAUACACAGAAGGUCUGGUACCUUUAAAAGACAGGUUGCUAUGCAAGACAACUGCUUGUGUGAGAGAAGUAAGUUGGACAUUAGAUGCGCUUCCGUCUGCAGCCCAUCUGAUCAACACAAGCUGUAUGCACAUGUGCAGAUUUUACACGUCAGACAGCCGAGGCAAGUACAAAUAAUCCACAGAUUCUGCCAGUCAAUCCACCAGCUGCAAAGAUAAUUAGGGCAGCUGAACACUUUGGAACAAAGGUGCUACAAAGCUACAAGUGUUUGCAGUUGUCAUGAACUGACAGACUUGUUGUUGUCGAGGCUUGAGUUCACUUCAGUGCACAGUUCCUCACCAUUUCCCAUUCAAGUUAUUCCAUGGAGAAAUACAUUACUGAGAUAUUUUAAGCCUGGCUGCUGGACUAUUACUACUAAAAAAUCCAAGAAUUAGAACAUAGUAUGACGUAGUUCAUUCUUUCCAAUUAGGACUGUAAUAUAAAAGGAUUUAAUGUAUGACUUUGGGAUCAAUUCUGUGUCUUUGGAAAGAGCAAAUUCACCCUGAAAGGACAAAUUCUGAACCCAAUUUGGAAUCUAUUGUCUGUUAGGAGAAACAAACAACAGUUAAUAGCUGUAUGGAUUCAUGUGUCAUGUAUCUAUGUACAACAUAAACUACUUCAAUGUUAC